ensembl:lncRNA
CAUUUGCACAGUUUCACAGAUAUCCUCCAUGUCUCAUCUCUCCCCUUUAAUUGUUCACUGUUGUCCUGUUCACCUUUAUCCCAUUCAAAAAAGACAGUAACAGACAGAGGCAGCAGAGGGGUGAUAAAGAAAAACAAAAACCUUCAUCCUCUUUCCCCUUCUGCCCCAGCUUCUGUUUUUCACUGUUUUAUUUGAUAUUUUUUUAAAAAGCUGAUUUUGCACCAAAAAAAUAUUACCAAAAAUGCAUUCUAUCAAGCAUUAAGCCAAUUUAUAAAACUGUACCAAUGUGAAAAGCAGUGAGCUCAUCCAACUUUGAGCACACUGGCAGCACCAGGGCUGGGUUCAGGUGACUGAGGCUGCUCAUCACAAGGGAUAAUGCCAUCAGCUGCAUCCCACCCAGAAUUCUUGGUCUAAUUACUUCCCUGGAGUGCCCUUGCAGACAACACUUCCCACUUGCAGCUCUCUUUGACCCUCUUUGAUUUCUUCUUUGUUCCACUCAAUUUUACUCUUGAACCACUUCUGAGUUCACGCACACAAAUUUCCUCUCCCGCCGGAGCACUUCUCUGCAAAAUAAUUACCUCAUGCAGAUGAAACAUGCUGAGGCUGAGCUACUCCUCGGCUGCAGCGGCGGAUGGCAGAGGAAUCGCUGCUGUUCUGCUGCUUCGUGCCAAGACUCGACCUGCCCGGAGCUCCCCGCUGCGCCCCGCUGACACUGCUGGAUGCAGCUGCUCUCUGCCCCAUGUCUGCAUGCUCUGGAAGCUGAUGGGAGGAACCCCCGGGGUUUUGCCAUUCACUCCAGACACUUUCCUGCAUUCAGUCCCAGCCAUGCUGGUAAAUCAGCCUGUGUCCCACUCGCCUCCUCCCCUGUUUCCUUCCCUACCAGGAACACGUUCCAGCUGCAGGAUGGCAGCAGCAGGCCCUGCACUGUGCCCAGCACUGGUGGCUCCUGCACUAAUGUCCCUACAGCGCUGGCAGCAAUUCCAUCUGAAGUAGCUAAUAACUUGCUGAUUGUAAAACUGUGUGCUAGAGAUACAUUUGGAGGAACGUAAUUAGAGAGAGGUAUUUGCUUUCGACGUUGCAUACCAAUCUCUCUCUCCCAAUCUCCAUAAACAUGAGACUUGAAAUGAUGUAGCACAGAGUUGUGUUUAUUUAUCCGCUGCUGAAAUGGGACAGCAUAGAGCUGUACAACGUGCUCCCAUUUCUCAGAGUAUCAGCUGUAUAUCUGCAGUGGCUGCAAGACAGAAACAUUUCAGCCCAGCAGUUAAACACACAACUGGGAAUGGGCCCUGAACGAACUGACGUGUUCCACUCGGAGCACAGCACGGGAACACAGCUUUUCCCAGAGAGGAUUGGCAGCUGCUUCAGGGUGGGCUCGCUGCAGUCUGGAGCCAUGGAGACAACACACAGUCAUUGAUUUCUACUGCAGAAGAAUGCUGCAGCUCUGCUUUGGCUCGGCAGCCCAGCCGCUCUCAGGGUGCACCUUCCUUCCCUCUGCUGACAGCCAGGCUCCUGCUUUAACUUCUCAAGAACAAUACCUCAUAUGGACUUACUCCAGAAUUUCUUAGCUGUGUUCUAGUUUCGAAGUAUUACAAAAAAAAUAUUACAGCUACAGACACCUCGUCCAAG